rnacentral:lncRNA from 1 species
AAAAUAGAUCCUGACGGUGGCUAAAUGUGGCCACAUAUGUAAAAGCCCAUUCGACCAAACAGCGGAGAAAUACAAACUUGACGGGAUGCAUAGGAUGACAAACAAGCAGAACCCUGUAAAUGAUCAAAUUUGACAAAACGCUUAAACAACCCCGGUAGCUAGGUCUAAUCUUCCAUAAAGUGUCUGGUUCAUAUGAUUAACUACAACUCGAGCAUUAAAAAGUGGAUGUCCGCUUGCAAAAGCUUCCAUUUUGAAUGUCUCGCUAAAUUCGACUAAAGCAACUCAACGUCAGCCACAUCAACAGGUCGACAAUCAAUCCACAUUGAUAUAUUUCCAGCAAACUAGACACAGUAAGUAUAAACAACACUUUUGCAUCAACUUCAGUUGUAUCAACAUAUCCAACAUAACUGGAGAACGUGUUGAAUACUGUAUAGCUACAAUGUAUCAACAUAUCCAACAUAACUGGAGAACGUGUUGAAUACUGUAUAGCUACAAUGUAUCAACAUAUCCAACAUAACUGGAGAACGUGUUGAAUACUGUAUAGCUACAAUGUAUCAACAUAUCCAACAUAACUGGAGAACGUGUUGAAUACUGUAUAGCUACAAUGUAUCAACAUAUCCAACAUAACUGGAGAACGUGUUGAACACUGUAUAGCUACAAUGUAUCAACAUAUCCAACAUAACUGGAGAACGUGUUGAAUACUGUAUAGCUACAAUGUAUCAACAUAUCCAACAUAACUGGAGAACGUGUUGAAUACUGUAUAGCUACAAUGUAUCAACAUAUCCAACAUAACUGGAGAACGUGUUGAAUACUGUAUAGCUACAAUGCAAUGAACUCACGUCAGCUAGCUAACUGUCAAAUACACGGCUAAUGUUAGCAAGCUAACCAGUUAGUUAAAUGUAUUUAACAACUUAUGACUUUUGUUCACCACUUAAUAAUUGACAACAGACCGAAAAACAGGCGAAGACAACCAGCAAGUUCAUGAUCAAGUUCAUCCAGACAAAAGUGGUCGACUUGUGUUUUGCACAAACUUACCCGAAUCUCCGGGGGUUUUCAUUUUGAGUGUUGCAAGCUAGUUAACGUUAGCUAGCGAGCUUGAUGGAUCUCAAGUCAGUAGCGUUUGUGGAAGGAAAAGUCUGAGCUCUUCCUUUGGUUCGGAUUGGAAAAACGAGGGAGGAACAAGCUAACGUUAAACUUUCCACCGUUGCUCCACUCGCGGGCCCCUUUGCUUCCACUUUCUUUCCCAAUACACCCUUCCCCAACUGUAGCGAUCGAGGUAACGUUACUUUCCCGAAUCGCAUUCAGUUGAUGUAGCUCACUGCUGUUUGUCCCACGGCAACUUGGGCUUGUCCUGUUCGAGGUGCAGCGGAACACGGUCAACCGUCCCGACAAGCACACGAACCGAAAACCCUUCUUUCCUUGUUUGCAUAUACUUUCACGAACUGUCGAGUUGUUUACUCCAUCUCAAUCGCAUCUUCCCCGUUGUUUGACAUAUCGUCGCUAAAAUAACCGUUCUGUAGAAUAGCAGUCGGCCUCUCUUUAGACUUUCUUUCUUCCUCCACUCACUAACAUUCUGUACUCUGUGGCUACUCUUUCUCCUCCCCCCGGUUCCUCUCUCUCGGGUGUCGUGUUUCGCUCUCUCCUCACCGGGCCGCCCACACGGAGAGGGAGAGGGGGGCUCUAAGGGGCGGGUCACACCCACUCACCACGAGCCAGGGUGGCGUCACUGCUGCGGCGUCGCCAUAGAGACCGCCACAGCGACACUGCCGUGGUGACAUCAUAUCCGCGUCCUACGAUUCUAGGCCGUCAUCACGUCCUUUUACGUCAAUCGCAGCUAUUCUUCAGGAGGGCAGGAACUCACUCUGUUUUCCCAGAUAAGCAUCAGAGAGCUGGGAGAGAGGUUCUAUCUGGGACGCAGCAUUCCCAAAUCCAGGAAACAGCGAGCACCAUCCCGUCCUGUCUCUUCCUGAGCAGAAGGGCCAGCCUUGUGUUUUCCCACGCCAGUAGUCCCUGUCAACCACAUUUAGUGGAACAUUAGCCACAGCAUUGUUUUCUUGCCCCCCUCUUUCUCUUUCUGUCUCUCUCUCACUCUUCAUCUCUGUCCUCACUCACUUUCUCUGCCUAUGUCUCUCUAGUCUUAUCUCUUUCAUUCUGUUGUCCUCUCUUUGUCCAUCCACCUCUCCUCCUAUCUCCAUAUCGCUCUUUCAUUUGAAGAGCACUUCAGCAUCCCCCAAGCUCUUCACAGAGGAAGUAUGGUUGGAGAGAGAAGCGAGAGAUGAAGAAUAAAGAAAAAGACAUGUCAAUAUAAAAGCACAAGGACUGCCAAUGACAUUCAUGCCAAUAUCAAGAGAGUCCUGUUUCUAUCAGAGUAUUCUCAGCCACGGUUACUCGUAAGGACGUGUUCAUCUGAAAGAGUCAUUCCUCAGAUCCUGAUUUUAGAACACCUUCAUGCUUUCCCACACGUUUGCCUAAUCUUCCCUCUUUCUCUCUUUCCCUCUCUCGCUCUUUGCUUUUUAUCCUGUUCUUCCCUCCGUGCUUGGAGAGUCUCUCCGUUCCUAAUGGGAAUGACAGACAGACGCUGUGGAGAGAAAGACAGAAAGAACCGGGACACUGGAGCACCCCACA